rnacentral:rRNA from 1 species
GAUCAUGGCUCAGGAUGAACGCUGGCGGCGUGCUUAACACAUGCAAGUCGAACGAAGCUCUUGGAACUGAGGAUUCGUCUGAAGUGAAGAGAUGACUUAGGUGGCGGACGGGUGAGUAACGCGUGGGGAAUCUGCCCCGUACCGGGGGAUAACACUUAGAAAUAGGUGCUAAUACCGCAUAAGCGCACGGUGUCGCAUGACACAGUGUGAAAAACUCCGGUGGUACGGGAUGAUCCCGCGUCUGAUUAGCCAGUUGGCAGGGUAACGGCCUACCAAAGCGACGAUCAGUAGCCGGCCUGAGAGGGUGAACGGCCACAUUGGGACUGAGACACGGCCCAAACUCCUGCGGGAGGCAGCAGUGGGGAAUAUUGCACAAUGGGGGAAACCCUGAUGCAGCCGACGCCGCGUGAGUGAAGAAGUAUCUCGGUAUGUAAAGCUCUAUCAGCAGGGAAGAAAAUGACGGUACCUGACUAAGAAGCCCCGGCUAACUACGUGCCAGCCGCAGC